CGCUGGCGGCGCGUUUAAGCAGUGCAAGUCGAGCGGCAAGGGCCUUCGGGCCCCUAGAGCGGCGGACGGGGUGAGUAACACGUGGACAAUCUGCCCCCCGGCCCGGGAUAGCCCAGGGAAACCUGGAUUAAUACCGGAUGAGACGGGACCCGCGAUGGCGGGAUCCGGGAAAGGCGCUGCGGCGCCGCCGGGGGAUGAGUCUGCGUCCCAUUAGCUAGACGGCGGGGUAACGGCCCACCGUGGCGACGAUGGGGUAGCCGGCCUGAGAGGGUGGACGGCCACAUUGGAACUGAGACACGGUCCGGACUCCUACGGGAGGCAGCAGCUAAGAAUCUUCCGCAAUGGGCGAAAGCCUGACGGAGCCGACGCCGCGUGAACGAAGAAGGCCGUGAGGUUGUAAAGUUCUUUUCGGGAGGGGGAACAACCGUGGCAGGGAAUGGCCGCGGGAUGACGUGAAUCCCGGAAUAAGCCCCCGGCUAACUACGUGCCAGCCGCUGC
rnacentral:rRNA from 1 species